rnacentral:rRNA from 1 species
CAUAUUAACCUUAUCACACUAAACAUACCUACUCUCAUUUGAUUUCAAAAGCUAAGCAGAGUUGGGCCAAGUUAAUACCUGGGCUGUAAAUUGGA